AGACAGAGCACAGCAGGAGGAGGAGCUACACAACUGAAUAUGAAAGGCUUCAUGUUGGAGCUGAAGAGCUGCUGUGUUCUCUCUAUUGUUCAUUCAGUACAAGUGAAAAUAAUGUUCCUGCUUCUCAUCGGGAUGGUGAUCGUCUCCUUUCAAAGUGGAUCCUCUGAGGAUGUACUGACUCCAUUUAAAGACGUAUUGAUGGCUUUGGAAGGAGACACUGUGACUCUCUCCUGCAACUACUCAGGCUCUGUCGACUACCUCUUCUGGUACCAACAGAAGUCCAGUUCAUCUCCACAGUUUCUGAUCCAAGAACAUUCAGAGAAAAUAGAAAGACUGUCUUUCAACCAUGACAAACAGUCAAAGAAGUUUCAUCUGCAGAUCUCCUCUGCCGCAGUGACAGACUCUGCUGUGUACUACUGUGCUCUGGAGCCCACAGUGACAGGAAACAGCAAAACUCUGUACAAAAACCUUUGCAGCAAAGACAAGAGAAAACUCCACAACAUCCACUAG